ensembl:misc_RNA 7SK 7SK RNA
GGAUGUGAGGGCGAUCUGGCUGCGACAUCUGUCACCCCAUUGAUCGCCAGGGUUGAUUCGGCUGAUCUGGCUGGCUAGGCGGGUGUCCCCUUCCUCCCUCACCGCUCCAUGUGCGUCCCUCCCGAAGCUGCGCGCUCGCUCGGUCAAAGAGGACGACCUUCCCCGAUAGAGGAGGACCCGUCUUCGGUCAAGGGUAUAGGAGUAGCUGCGCUCCCCUGCUAGAACCUCCAAACAAGCUACAUAUAGGUUUCCAGUUUUCCCAGCAUGAUUUGUUGAAGAAGCGAUCAUUUCUCCAGUGUAUGUGUAUGGCACCUUGUUUAGUAUGAGGUAACUGUAU